GAUGAACGCUAGCUACAGGCUUAACACAUGCAAGUCGAGGGGCAGCGGGAUUGAAGCUUGCUUCAAUCGCCGGCGACCGGCGCACGGGUGAGUAACGCGUAUCCAACCUUCCGUACACUCAGGGAUAGCCUUUCGAAAGAAAGAUUAAUACCUGAUGGUAUGAUGAGAUUGCAUGAUAGCAUCAUUAAAGAUUUAUCGGUGUACGAUGGGGAUGCGUUCCAUUAGGUAGUAGGCGGGGUAACGGCCCACCUAGCCAACGAUGGAUAGGGGUUCUGAGAGGAAGGUCCCCCACAUUGGAACUGAGACACGGUCCAAACUCCUACGGGAGGCAGCAGUGAGGAAUAUUGGUCAAUGGACGAGAGUCUGAACCAGCCAAGUAGCGUGAAGGAUGACUGCCCUAUGGGUUGUAAACUUCUUUUAUAAAGGAAUAAAGUCGGGUAUGGAUACCCGUUUGCAUGUACUUUAUGAAUAAGGAUCGGCUAACUCCGUGCCAGCAGCCG
rnacentral:rRNA from 1 species